UUGCAACAUCAAAAAGCAGGAGAUACUUAUCGGUAUUUGAUUUGUCAGAGAAGUUAAACAUAUUGAUGCUCCUACAAUGUCUUAAAGUGUCAGAAAGCUAACUGGAAAGUAUGAUAAUGGUGUAACCUUAGAGGAAUAUAAAAGUUUUUGUUCAUACACAGAAAGAAAGAAAGAUUCCUGACAUUUGUGUUUGAAGCAGUUACAAAGUGAGAGAUUUUUUUGGCCUUGUUACCAUGGAGAGUGUCUCUGUGAUUCAAGCAUCUGCAGAGCCACCAAAUGUCAGCUCUCUAUUACUGUCCUCAGCUAAGUGGAACAGACAGCAAUAUUUGCGUGCAGUGCUAAAGGCCUCUGUGAUCCACUCAGAGCUGUUUAGAAGGCUAACGAAAACAUACUGCCUACAAUAAUUUAGCGACUUUGUAAACUACUUUUCUCCACAAAUAAAUAUUGUACAGAAUCAUCUCUGGUAUUACAAGAGGUACAUUGAUUUCUGAGACAGCCAUUAUUACAGUUUAAGAGCUAACAGUUCACUUUGUGAGAAAUAAUGCUGUGUUCCAGUUGUACUCGGACAACCUUCUCCAACCCUGACUUGACGACAACCUCAUAAUCUAAGAUGGCAGCACAGUGCAUCAACGGUAGAGAGUAACAGUGAAAGCUCUUGUAAUGUAUUAUUUAUUAGCACUUCUGUUUUGUUUUUGUGAAAUUAAAUAGGUGGUUUAUGUUGUACUGCCCAACGUCUACCUGGGAACACGGUGCUACGGUGUUUGUAAGAGUAAAAUACUGUUAUGCGUUGUUUACAACUGGUAUCACUAACAACUAACAAAAGCUGACAACCGCUAACAACAACUGACAACGGGUAACUGUAGGUGUCCAUCUUGGUUUUCCAACUUGUAAACUGGAACGCCGUCAACACGGGUGUAAUGUCAUUCCCCGCUCUGACAUCCGACUUCUGAGGUAACUGGAACGCAGCAUAAAGCUCCUAGAAUCCAGAUGAAGAAUGGGGAGGCAUGGAUGCCAUGGUGUUUUGUAAUGAUUUGGGCUGUCACUUCUGGGAUUGGAUGGUUCAAUCUCAGAAGUGUGUUCCAAUUUGGACCACAUUUUUGAUUAAAUGCAAAGUUAAAGCAGUCGUUUACCAGGAGGUUUUAAAGCACUCCAUGCUGCUAUCAGCUCCCAGAUGCUAAGUUCCUUUCCCGGCUGCACCUGCCCACAGUGCAAAAACUACUGUCAAAUGAUGUGAUGGCUUUGAUUUUACUGUGCUUGAUUUGUGUAAAUCCAAGAGAGACACAUGACUGCAUGGAAGAAUUGAAUUUGAAAGAACAAUCAUGACAUGUAUCAUAGACUAUAAAAUCCCUGAUCCACUUUAAACUCAAAUCCACUGCAUAUCAAAGCUAACACAGAGUUGGAUAUUUCUUGAUUUCUACCUUUUGUAUGUGAGAGAUCAAAUGACAUUUUGAGUGGUUGCAGUGACAGCAAGAGCUUAUUGCUCCCUGAGCUGAGCUGCAUAGACGAAGGACAACAACUGCACCCCAGUGUAGUUCUUUCACACACGCUUUAUCUUAUCUUGGAUGGUGUCAGAAGAGACAGCACCUGACACACACACAAACACUUGCAAGUCAUUGAACUGGAGAUUUUCUUUCAUUCUUUUUUUUUUUGGACAGUGACUGAAAAGGAAAAUCCAAUUUACUAGAAGCCAUCCUACUGACAAAGGUGCCAUUGAAGAUCUUCAAUCUUGCAGCUCUUAAAUUUUGCACAAACAAUCAUGUAUACAAAUAAAUUUCCCUGAAAUAUGCCUGUUUUCUUCAUAUAUGCAGUAUGUCAAAGACAAGCAAGAUUAACACGUAGCCUAGACUGUGAAUGUGGGACAAAUUUAUGUUUCAUAAUCCAGAGUCCUUUUGGCCAACAGCUAUCCUGCUAUGCAUUCUGCCAAACAUACAUAAUAUACUGGGUUUUUCUGUGGUACAGAUGUUCGCAUUUCGUCGAACUCAUAUAUCAUCCCCUCAGUCCAACCCUGAUGACAUACAAGCAAAUGUCCAGACUUCCAUUGGACAUACUGUAAUUUGAGAGGUCAGAGCUCCCCCCCUCGGUCCUGUGUUAGCAGUUAGAUUCUUUUAUCAGAGUCCCUUGUGCGAAUGCAGGUGUGUGAUGCCUCUCUUUCCUCCACAUAUUGCAGCUCUGGCCUUUGUCCCACACUGGGAAAUUCCCCCACCACACAUGUCAGGUCCUGUCCUCAUACCAGUCUCAGUUCACACACUGCUGCAUACCAACCCAGAAAACAAUUAAAAAACUCUGCCAUGCCCGGUUUUCCUAUUCAGAGCUGUCAGAGUCAUGUCUUAUAUGAUUUGUGACCAGAUCUCAGAGGGUUUUCACCCACAGAACCCGUGAAAUCCCAUUUGCACCUGGAUCUGAUCUGCUACAACCCAGCAGUCUUAUCACCCUGACCCAUUGUACUGACACUUUUGCUAUGGAUAUUUUUUUUUUUUAAGUGUCCCAUCCUCUCAUUUUAUCCAUGACAUGUCAGAGAUCAGAAAAGAUUAAUUCAUAUUCAUAAACUGUUGACAAGACAGCCAGUUAACAGUAUCUAAUCUUUAUUAAAUAUGGAUUCCUCUGUGGUUUUUCAAAGCUUCAACUUUCAUUAAAUUUUACAAUCCAAAUCUUUUUGUUGUACUCCUAAUUAAAUAAGUAUUGGAGCCUAUAAUUGAAGCAUUUACUGUAUUAGUACAACACUUUUGAGAUAAUUAAAACUGCAAUUUUUUUUCAAAUUGAUUCAACGCCUGGCAAGAAAUACGAAUACUGAAAUUGGCUGUGUUGUUAAAUAGGACAAUUUGGAACGCAUGACCAGUGAUUCACUGAGCUGAUUUCAGAUUUCUGUCUAUUUCAAAAAAAUGCAACCCCUGGUGAACCAUUUUUUCCAGCAUGUUUCACCAUGCUGGUGAAACAUGCUCCACCAAUCUAAGGCUAUCUGACCUUUACCUUUAACUUAAUCCGGUUGAGCUGAAGCAGUUUCUAGCCAACAGCCACCUUAGGAACACCUGCCGUGUCGGCUCCUUGACACGGGCUGUUGGAGAGGCAGCUCGCUGUUAUGCUCCACUUUCUCCCAGACAAGAUCGAAUCAAAUGACCCUCUUUUCCACAUGAAAAACGUUUUAUUGUCUUAGAGGUGAAAAAAAAUAUUUGAAACAAUCAACACUGAAUAAAAACCCCACCAGUGCAGCUAACCUUUAACUUAGCCUUAGCGGACCAUGGCGACUUCUCGCCAGGGGCCCCCUAUGCCCGCAGGUUGUGGCGGCUCCCCACCAAAAGCUGUGGGAGAAGCAGCAGCAGCAGCUUGCCAAUAUGCUCUCCUUUUUUCAGACAACAUCGCACCAGCUAACCCUCCACAAAAACAUUCUGUUGCCUUAGAUGUGGAAAAAUUGUAUUUAAGCAUAUUGAGGAUAAGAUAACAAAGACUGCUUUGUCCACAGCGGGCGCCAAAGCAACAAAGCAUAAGUCACCCUGACUUGUUAAGCUAAGCGUUUAAACCUACUUAUCACUAUUCCACUGAGUUCUAUUGAGAUUUCUUCCGGUUUCUUUUAAAGUAUUUUGAGGUUGAUUUUGUGAAAUACAGCUGUCAAAGAAGACAAGUUUGAAGAUAUUCUUUUGUCUGAACUUUAGAAUUUUUUCAAUUCAACAAGUGCUGUCCUCAUAAUGUCUUCUUUAAAAGCUCGACUGAAUUGUUGUAAAUCUCAUUUUCAUGUAGGUAAGUGUGAAAAUGAUCGAGAGACAGUCAUUUUGAAAGUCUUGCCAAGGAAAGGCAGGUUUGACAUAGGCGUGGAAUUAUUAGGUUAGAGGGGUCAAGGGUAUACUUUUGGGGAGAAGUCUGGCCAGAUAUGCUAUAAGUAUGUUUGGGAAGAUGUCUGUCUUUAAACAGAGUGUAAGAAGAAAACUUUUAAAGUGACUUUAAGUCUUUAAAAGGGCUUUUAAAACACUUGCUCAUUAUUUUAAAAUCUUGCUUUUGCUAUGUUUUUUUGACCUGCCUGGGUCACUUUGCUGCCUUUGUAGAGAACUGUAUCACUUGGUUUGAAGAAAAAAAGAGGUACGUCUGGUAAAUAAUGCAUUUCCAAGGACAGUUUCUGCAGGACAACUUGUUUGUGAACAAUGUGGAUCUGUUCCAACAUAUAGAACUGGGAAAAACAUGAGUGUUUUUUCCUUCAGUCAGAAGAAAAAGGCGAACUCAAACUGAAUCAUGAAGAGCUGGAUAUAGAAAGACUCUUCAUUUACUGCAAUUCAACUAAUACAUCCUUGAAUGAGAGAAACAAACACAGCAGAGACAUCAGAAGUGUGUUAUUACAUUCAAACAUUAAAAUCUCUUUAAACAUUUUUAUUCAGUCUUGAAGACUUAAUCCCUUGAACAGCCUGUCAUUAAGCUUUGAUUAAACUCCCUUACAUUCAUUUUGGUCUCAAACACCAUCAGAAGCUUGAUUGGGAUGAGAAAUAAUGUGGACCAACGUCCUCAGAGCUGUCAGCUUUUGAACAAACAGUCACAGACAGACUGUCAUCUGUCUCCGCGUCUUUACUUGGCUGUUUUACUCCUAGAUGACUUCAGACCAGACUCUAUCUCUGAGAAACUAAACUGACAGCUUGGUGUCUGUCAGCUCUGUCCUCCCUCUUUUCACAUCCUUCCUCUCGCUCACCCCUCGCUGUCACCUUCAGACUACUUAAUUAAUACUUUAUACAUCUCUGUCCUCCUCUGAUAAGAACACACUGAGCUGAAGGAAUAACAGAGCAGGGGUGAGGCUCAAAGUCAGGGUAAAGUUAGAUUUUUAUGAAAGUGCACAGGUUUAUUAAUCAGAUUAAAGUUUAUAUGAGAAAAAUCACUUUUAGAAGAAUAAACUGUGACACUGCUAUAUCCAGCUACCAUGAGUGUCUAACAUCAACCAUCAACAACUGACAUUUAGCUACAAGACAGUCUUACAUCUGCCACAGCCAUUUCACUGUGUUCUGUUGACCUGUGUGUUGAAUUUACAACUCUCAACAGAGGUGCUAAAGAUGUCUCACUCUCCGGCGGAUCAGAAGCUACAGUGUCCACUCUUAGCUGCUGCUUUACUGAGGGUUUUUUCAUGAAACAAAUGUGUGCAACUACAGAGCAUCUGCAAAGAAAUGCCCAAGCUGAUCUACGAACAAAAUAUGGAUUGUGUCUUUCAAAUGUGCAAGUGUUGUCCAUUUAGCAUUUUUGCCUUGAUGAAAAUUCGUUUUUUAUCCUGUGUGCAAAAUACUGGAAAGAGAAAAUGCAAAGGAGUAUACCUAGCUCAUGUUUUGUGAUUUACCAAGGCUGAAAGUAGUUUCUGACAUUUUUUUAUGUGCAAAUAUAAGACCUUAAUAAAGACUAUGUUACCUAGGCGCCAAGUGUGACACAGAUGGCUGCUUUUAAUGUGUUGAGAAGGGGACAGAAUUACAAUUCAGGUUAUUUAUUUACUUUUAUUUAUCAUUCAAUAAUCUUCAAUGGGUAAAAAUGCUAUAAUCAAACAUACAUACAUUUAGACCUAUAUUUGUGGCCAAUUCACAGCCAUAGAACAUUAAAAUGGACUUUCAAGUUAUUUGUGUCUUUUCUCCAAUACUCUUUUUCUGCUUCUCCUGUGUACACUUAUAUUGCCUUUACCAGCUGUCUGGUGCCUGCCUCUCUUUAAACAUGUUAAAAUGAGGGCUUGUUAAACAGCAGAUUUGAGAUUUAAUGUUUCCAAGGAUUUCUAAAGCUCAUUUCUCACUGGGUGACACUCUUGGUUCAACAUUUUUCAUUUCAAUAACAAGUAAUAUUUCUGAAAUUUCCUUUGAUCCAGUUUUAAGAACGUCUUUAAAAAAAUUCCUCUUAGGGGACAGCGAACCUUUUGUCCCCUUUAUGAUUUGUCCAAGUGAUUUCAUUAGCAAGCGCUCAUGAUGCAUUCAGAAAAAAAAAAAAAAAACAUCUGUAAAGUUUCUGUGAGUGUGUUUCUUUAUGGACCAAGCAUAAUUUAAGAAAUAUUCUUUCUUACCUAAGCACACAGGGCAUUUUAAGAGAACCCAAACAUGCAACAUUCCCAGCUACAUUGCUGUUUUUUGUCAAUCUGUGACACCUGAAGAUAACUUCUGGAGAACCAUUAAACUAAAAAAUAAGCCGCCAUGCUGGAGGAAAUUCAGCACCUGCUUCCAAGAUAAAUGAUUACACAAAGCACUUUAGCACAACA